rnacentral:tRNA from 1 species
AUCGGGGAUGGCCUAUGGGGUUCGAAAGAUCUUAUAAAUUUCCUGAUGUUAUCACCAUCAAGGGUACGUUCAGAUCGUACCUCCGAUC